GACGAACGCUGGCGGCGUGCCUAAUACAUGCAAGUCGAGCGAGCGAAACUAACAGAUUUACUUCGGUAAUGACGUUAGGAAAGCGAGCGGCGGAUGGGUGAGUAACACGUGGGGAACCUGCCCCAUAGUCUGGGAUACCACUUGGAAACAGGUGCUAAUACCGGAUAAGAAAGCAGAUCGCAUGAUCAGCUUUUAAAAGGCGGCGUAAGCUGUCGCUAUGGGAUGGCCCCGCGGUGCAUUAGCUAGUUGGUAAGGUAAAGGCUUACCAAGGCGAUGAUGCAUAGCCGAGUUGAGAGACUGAUAGGCCACAUUGGGACUGAGACACGGCCAAAACUCCUACGGGAGGCAGCAGUAGGGAAUCUUCCACAAUGGACGCAAGUCUGAUGGAGCAACGCCGCGUGAGUGAAGAAGGUUUUCGGAUCGUAAAGCUCUGUUGUUGGUGAAGAAGGAUAGAGGUAGUAACUGGCCUUUAUUUGACGGUAAUCAACCAGAAAGUCACGGCUAACUACGUG
rnacentral:rRNA from 1 species